UGAAGGGACUGGGUUGGGAUUGAAGAUGCUGGUCCUGUUUUCAUUAGGAUGGAUAGGUGCCAUUGAUGUUUCCCAGACGCUCCUGCGGCCCCAUUCCUCUCCUUGAAUCCCUGGCGCCGGGUGUACCGUGCUGGUGACUCCGUGGGACUCGUGUGUUCAACACCCUCUUCGGUGGACAGGGUUAAAGGUUUCCAGUACUUUGGAGAUAGAAUAGCUGUGUUAGCGCUGGCUUCAUCCAAGAGCAGCUACAUCUACAACUUGAAUAUCACUGGACCAACGGUAUUUGGGUCGUACAGCUGUUCAUACUGGGUACGUCUGUCCGGACGGAAUGUCCCAGCCAGGAGGAGUGAGCCAGUGGUCAUCAGCAUGAGAGCCCACCCAGGCAGCUGGUCCCUGGAGUUGGCCGUGGGGGGCUCAUUCUUCACCCUCAACAGCCUCAUCUUCCUCGUCACCUACUUCCUGAUAAAGCGCGAAGGAUCCUAGGAGAAUCACAGGAUGGAGAUCCAAGCCUGAAGAAGAACCUCCAAAGGUCUUUAGCAUGAAUCUUUUCAAGCUGUCUGUGAUGCUGAGGCCCAAUCAAUCUUUCCCGCUCCCUGCCUCAGUUUCCCCAUCAGACAAAUGGUGUUCAUGAUCUUCAGCUUCAAUCUGGGGUGUUGUGAAGCUUAACAUAUUUGCUUUGAAUAUUCUGCAGGUCUCUUCCCUGGUCAUGUGCUUUAGAGCCCUGUGCAGCACCGAGAAUGCAACACAAAAUAUAUUUUAGCCUGCUGUUGUAAUCCUCCGAGUCACAACACUGCCGUUGGUUCCACUGCUGAUGUGGGAGCCACUUCUAAACAGAAAGAAAGAAGGAAAGAAAGCUGACCUUUCUUCUCCUUUUCCAGAUCCCAUCUGCCACUCGUUUCCAAGCUGUAUGGAUUCCUGUAAACUCCCCUCCCUUCCUGCUUCAUAAUUAAAGUUUACUCCAACCCACUUCAGUCUCUGUCUCAUCGAUGGACCUGGUAUUUGUGUGCUCUCUCACACGGUUUGUGUCAUAUCCUCCGCAUUGCCAGCAGAUGGGGAGAUUCUCCCCCCACUUUG
rnacentral:lncRNA from 1 species